UGGAGACUGUCCUGUUGCAAAGUAGAUAUUUCACAAGGCCACUAGGGCUUCCUGUAGUAGUCUACCCACUCUGGGGAAUUGAUACCAGUGUUCCUGGCCAGCAGGCCCCUCCCCAUAUCUCUGCCUGUGUCCCAGCUCCUCAGACUUCAUUAAUGGAUUACAUUAACGGGCAACAGAUAUGACUGAAACUCUUGCUGCUAAUCAGGAAAGGGGUGUGACUGCUUGGCUCGGGCCUUGUUCAUAUUACAGAAUCAUUCAACUGACACCAAAAUAUUCAGUGGCCCCUGGUAUGAGAAGUGAGGAGCUGUAGUCAGGCUACACCUACAGGCCAAGCAAAGACUAGAGCAUCAGUCAUUCUGUAGUCCCCUGCCUCUGCCAGCCAGUGUUUUAAGCAGCUUGUAAACAGCAGCUCAUGUGUCCCUCACAGUCCCCCUUUGAAGGAGUGCUGUUAUUAUCCCCAGUUUAGAAAUGAGGAAACGGAGGCAGAAUAGGCUAAGAGACUUCCCCGUUCACUCCAGUGUUAGCAGCAUGCUGGGUUUUGGGUCUUGGAGACUUGGCUUCUGUGUCUGCUGAUCAAUUGGUAUUUCCUUUGUCGUUCAUCCAGUGAAGGUGUUGAAAUACUAACAGAGCCACCUCGUCCUUCUUACAUGUCCAAAAGCACUGAAAAGGGCAGAGUGUCUGAGAGCUGUGGACAAAUGACUGGACGAGUCCGAACCAGUUCUCGGCACAGGACACCUUAUGGGCAGCAGGAGGGUGUGUGGAGGAAAGUCUAAAUAAAUGGAACAGCCUGUGCUUCGAA
rnacentral:sRNA from 1 species